AGCAGCCGCGGUAAUUCCAGCUCCAAUAGCGUAUAUUAAAGUUGUUGCAGUUAAAAAGCUCGUAGUUGAACUUCGGGGUUCACCCAUUGGUCAGGCUUAAUUGUCUGUACUGGUGAGAUGAAUCUCUACCUUCUGAGGAACUUUCAUGCCAUUUAUUUGGUGUGAUGGGAAAUCAGGACUGUUACUUUGAAAAAUUAGAGUGUUUAAAGCAGGCUAACGUCUGAAUACAUUAGCAUGGAAUAAUGAAAUAGGACGGAUUGAUUCUAUUUCGUUGGUUUCUAGGGUCACCGUAAUGAUUAAUAGGGAUAGUUGGGGGCAUUAGUAUUCAAUUGUCAGAGGUGAAAUUCUUGGAUUUAUUGAAGACUAACUACUGCGAAAGCAUUUGCCAAGGAUGUUUUCAUUAACCAAGAACGAAAGUUAGGGGAUCGAAGACGAUCAGAUACCGUCGUAGUCUUAACCAUAAACUAUGCCGACUAGGGAUCGGACGAAGUUAAUUAAUAAUGACGCGUUCGGCACCUUA
rnacentral:misc_RNA from 1 species